CUGCAGUCGAACGGUGAACCGGAGCUUGCUCUGUGGGAUCAGUGGCGAACGGGUGAGUAACACGUGAGCAACCUGCCCCUGACUCUGGGAUAAGCGCUGGAAACGGCGUCUAAUACUGGAUAUGUGACGUGACCGCAUGGUCUGCGUCUGGAAAGAAUUUCGGUUGGGGAUGGGCUCGCGGCCUAUCAGCUUGUUGGUGAGGUAAUGGCUCACCAAGGCGUCGACGGGUAGCCGGCCUGAGAGGGUGACCGGCCACACUGGGACUGAGACACGGCCCAGACUCCUACGGGAGGCAGCAGUGGGGAAUAUUGCACAAUGGGCGCAAGCCUGAUGCAGCAACGCCGCGUGAGGGACGACGGCCUUCGGGUUGUAAACCUCUUUUAGCAGGGAAGAAGCGAAAGUGACGGUACCUGCAGAAAAAGCGCCGGCUAACUACGUGCCAGCAGCCGCGGUAAUACGUAGGGCGCAAGCGUUAUCCGGAAUUAUUGGGCGUAAAGAGCUCGUAGGCGGUUUGUCGCGUCUGCUGUGAAAUCCGGAGGCUCAACCUCCGGCCUGCAGUGAGUACGGGCAGACUAGAGUGCGGUAGGGGAGAUUGGAAUUCCUGGUGUAGCGGUGGAAUGCGCAGAUAUCAGGAGGAACACCGAU
rnacentral:rRNA from 1 species